AGAAAGAGAGGUAUCACGGGAGAAGGAAAUAAAGGAGAAAAAGAAAAGCAGGUUCCCUCCAUCUGAGGGAAUCACAUGUCUAACACUUCCCCUGAUUCCCUACGAUAGAAGAUUAUGUCUCAUUAAAAACCUUGUUAAGAAAACCCAGUGGGAAAAACUUAACGAAGGAAAAAAGAGUACAUAUCUUUUACAUAAAUAUCUUUAAAUUAAUUGCCUCGUUAAAACCUUGUCAGGAAAACCUCAUUGGGAUAAAAACCGUGACUAAGGAAAAAGAGUACAGUCUUCCCCUCAAAAGAAAUUCAUUACUCCUUGAUGAAAUGUUGUCAUAAGUCUUUCAGUCGACACAUUCCGACCCUUUUCCGAAGUUUUGCAAACGUUGCACUUGGUAGCGACUUUGUGAAUUAGUCGGCUAGAUUAUCAUAUGAUCGAAUUUGAUGCACAUCUAUAUCACCAUUCUUUUUGUAGCUCAUGUGUGAAGAAGAAUUUAGGUGAAAUGUGCUUUGUUCUAUAUGUAACCUCCUCUAAGUUGAGCAAUGCAUGCAGCAUUAUCCUCAUACAGAAUUGUAGAAAUGUCUUUGAUUAAAAGGUAAUCCACAUGAUUUUUGAAUAUACUGAAUAAUUGAUCUCAACCAAACACACUCUCUGCUUGCUUCAUGUAUAGCGAGAAUAUCUAAGUGAUUUGAAGAUGUAGCUGUCAUGGUUUGCUUUGUGAAUUUCCAGGAUAUAGCCGUGUCACAAUAUGUAAAUACAUAACCUGUUUGUGAUCUUACAUUGUGUGGAUCUGAUAAAUAUCCUGCAUUGGCAUAUCCAACCAAUCGCGAUGUUAAAUCUCUUGGAUAAAAUAACCCAAGAUCUAUACUUCCACGGAGGUAUCUCAAAAUGUGUUUGAUCCCAUCCCAAUGUCUCUUAGUAGGAGAAGAACUAUAUCUUGCUAACAAAUUGACAGCAAAAGUAAUAUCAGGUCGUGUACAAUUUGCAAGAUACAUAAGAGCACCUAUUGCACUUAGGUAUGGAACUUCAGGUCCAAGUAUCUUCCCCACUUUCUAGAGGUCGAAAUGGAUCUUUAUCGACUUCUAAAGAUCGAACAACCACCGGGGUAGUUAAAGGAUGAGCUUUAUCCAUAUAAAAAUGACUGAGAAUCUUUUCAGCAUAUGUGGAUUGAUGAACAAAAAUUCUAGAUGCUAAAUGCUCCACUUGGAUUCCCAAACAGAAUUUUGUCUUUUCAAGAUCUUUCAUUUCAAAUUCAUCCUUUAAAUAAGUAGCAGUUCUUCAGGAGUACCUACAAGAUUCAAAUCAUCCACAUAUACAGCAAUGAUGGAAAAUCCACUUUGUGAUUUCUUAAUAAAAGCACAUGGACAUACUUGAUCAUUUAUAUAUCCAUAUUUUAUUAAAUAAUCACUAAGUCGAUUAUACCACAUACGACCAGACUGUUUCAACCCAUACAAUGAGCGUUGUAACUUGAUUGAAUAUAUGUGACGUGGCCUUUGUGAUUCAGCCAUUUUCAAUCCUUCAGGGAUUCUCAUGUAAAUCUCACUGUCAAGUGAGCCAUAUAGGUAUGCUGUUACAACAUCCAUCAGACGUGUUUCCAAACCUUCCAUGGUUGCCAUACCUAUCAGAAAGCGAAAAGUGACUCCAUCCAUUACUGGAGAGUAUGUAUCCUGAUAAUCAAUACCAGGUUUUUGUGAAAACCCUUGAGCUACAAGUCGGGCUUUGUAUCUCACAAUUUCAUUUUUCUCAUUUCGCUUUCGUACAAAUACCCAUUUGUUUCCAACCGGGAUUACACCCAGCGGUGUUUGGACUACUGGUCCAAAUACUUCUCUUUUCAAUAGAGAUUGUAGCUCAGUUUGAAUAGCAUCUUUCCAUUUUGGCCAAUCUUUUCUUUUCCGACAUUCUUCCACGUUUUGUGGUUCAGGAUCCGUGUCAGGAAUCAAAGUAAUAUCUGAUGCUAUAGAGAAAGCAAAUAUAUCAUCAAUCAUGACUUUGCUUCGAUCCCAUAUUUUCUCAUCAUGUACAUAAUUUAUUGAGAUCUCUUGGUGUUCAUCUCUUAUCCCUUCACUGAGAUUUUGAACCUCUUCUGGGGCUAUUCCCACUCUUGGAAUAAGUGCUACUUCUGGAGCGGGUAUUCCUUCUGGGAUUCCCUUAUUUGCUUUUGAUUUUCGUGGUACAGUGUCUUUUGCACCAACCGGUCUUCCACGCUUCUGGCGUGGUUUAGAUUCUUCUAUUACCUUAUUCGUCAAUUCUCCAGGAAUUGAUUUUUCAAUAGGUAUUUCUAUCCUUGCUGGAGUAUUCACUGCAGGUGUAUGUGACUUUAUCACUUUUCUAGCAUCAUUAAAUGCAUCUGGCAUUUGAUUUGCAAUAUUUUGUAAAUGAAUAAUUCUUUGAACUUCAAUUUCACAUUGUCCUGUACGAGGAUCAAGUGAAUUUAAAUCUGAUGCAUUCCAUGAUAUUUCAGAGGGUUUUUUAUUUAAAACUUUCCCUCCUCCUAAUGUUCAAAAAACAGUUUCAUCAAAAUGACAAUCUACAUAACGUGCAGUAAAAACAUCUCCAGUUAAAGGCUCAAGAUAUCUGAUAAUAGAAGGAUAAUCAAAACCAACAUAAAUAUCUAUUCUUCGUUGGGCUCCCAUCUUAGUUCUUUGUGUAGGUGCAAUUGGAACAUAUACUGCACUUCCAAAAACUCGAAAGUGUGAUAUGUUGGGUAUCUGUCCAAGAACUAACUAUAGAGAAGAGAAUUUAUGAAGAGUCGUUGGUCUUACUCGAAUAACGGCUGCAGCAUGAAGAAUUGCAUGACCCCAAACUGAGGUAGGUAAGUUAGCCCUUAACAUUAAUGGUCGUGCAAUUAGUUGAAGUCUUUUUAUUAAAGAUUCAGCUAAACCAUUUUGUGUAUGAAUAUGAGGAACAGAAUGCUCAAUAGAGAUUCCAAUAGUCAUACAAAAAUUAUUAAAAGUCAUUGAUGAAAAUUCAGCUGCGUUAUCAAGUCGAAUUGACUUGAUUGGAUGAUCUGAGAACUGAGCCCGUAACUUGAUUAUUUGAACAAGAAGUUUUGAGAAGGCAAAAUUUCGAGAAGAGAGAAGACAAACAUGAGACCAUCUAGUUGAAGCGUCUAUUAAAACCAUAAAAUAUUGAAAUGGGCCAGACAAUGGGUGAAUAGGUCCACAAAUGUCUCCUUGAAUUCUCUCUAGGAAUUUUGGAGCUUCUUUAUAAACUUUUACUGGUGAUGGUCGAACAAUUAAUUUUCCUCGAGAACACGCAGCACAAGGAAGUUCACUACUAGGAAAAAUCUUAUUAUCUUUGAGAGGAUGACCAGUAGAAUUUUCAGUAAUACGAUUCAUCAUAGAAGUACCUGGAUGACCGAGUCUUUCAUGCCAAAGCAUAAAGGAUUUGGGAUCUAUGAUUUUCGAAAUCAUAACAGCAUGAGACUCAAUUGCUCUAAUUUUCAUAGUAUAUAAUCCAGAAGAAAUUGAAUGCAGUUUUUCUAGGAUAUUCUUUUUUCAGAAAUAGUAGAAGUGAUGAGAAGAUAUUCAUUUUCAUUUUCAUUGGUUGUUUCAAUGUGAAAACCAUUUAGUCGAAUAUCUUUAAAACUAAGCAAAUUUCUUCUUGAUUUACUAGAAUAUAGAGCAUCUUUGAUAAAAACUUGUGUCUCAUUUGGUAGCAUGAAACUAGCUUUUCCAAAUCCCUCGAUUAAAUUUGAUGUGCCAAAGAUAGUUCCUACAUUUCCCUUAGCUCUGAUCAGUUGUGAAAAAUAUUUCUCACUUCGAAGGAUUGUAUGAGUUGUUACACUGUCUGCUAAACAUAUAUCUUCCAUAUCCAUUAAAAAAAUGGUCUGACACAUAUAAAAACAUAAAUAAGAAAAGUUACAUUUCAAAUAUAAUUUUAUUCAUGAGAAACACAUACCACAUAUAGAAUAAAAACUAAUAAUAUUAUACAUGCAGGGUGUUUAAUUAAAAUAAGAAAUUAAACUAUAUCCCAAAAGAUACUUUCAGAAGGUUCAAUAAUAUCAACAACCUUUUCCUUAUUGUUGGUCAUUGGUGGAUCAUCAACAAUAUUCAAUUGAUGAUUAACAAAGUUUGUUUCUGCCUCCAUUACUUUGUUCUUUUGAGACUCCUGGAAUAAAUUAACCAGGUGCCUCGGCGUACGACAAGUACGCGACCAAUGCCCUUUCAUCCCACACCUAAAACAAACAUCUGGUUUGUUCUUUAUCGAUGCUGCAGUUUCUUUAUUUUUACCCGACCCAGACACUUGCCACUUCUGGUGGCCUGAAUUGUCGCGAUUAUGGAAUUUGUUGUUAUGAUGGCCUCGUUUAUUCUUUUGUCCCCAAGGCUUCUUAUUAUAUGACCAUCUAUUGUCACGUUUAUUCUGCUAGAAUGACGUGCUGUUAAUAUCUGGCAAUGAGGUAGCACCCGUUGGCCGUACUUGAUGAUUUUUCAACAACAAUUCAUUAUUUUUUUCUGCAACAAGGAGGAUAAACAACAAGUCACUAAAUUUUGUGAACUUACUCUGUCUAUAUUGUUGUGACAGAAUCAUGUUGGUGGGAUGAAAAGUUGAGAGUGUUUUCUCUAACAUUUGGGUUUCAGAAACUGGAUCUCCGCACAAAGCCAAAGUAGAAGUUAUUCUAUAAAUAUUUGAACUAUAUUCCGUAAUUGAUUUAUAAUCUUGUAGCCUUAAAUUAAGCCACUCAAAUUUGGCAUUAGGGAGAACAACUAAUUUUUGGUGGUCAAAUCUUUCCUUCAGUUGUGUCCAUAAAGACAAGGGAUCUUUGACUGUUAAAUACUCAGUCUUUAAUCCUUCAUCAAUAUGGUGACGAAGAAAAAUUAUGGCUUUUGCAUUUUGUGCCGAAGUAGCUGUAUUUCCUGAUUCAAUGGUUUUUUCUAACUCAUUUGCACUAAGGUGCAAUUCUGCAUUAAGUGCCCAAGCCAAAUAGUUGUCUCUAGAGAUUUUCAAAAUAGAAAAAUCUAUUUUUGCCAAGUUUGCCAUCUAUUCUGGGUUAAAACAUAAUUAUUAUUUAUUAAAAUAAUAAAUAAUUGCAUGUAUGAUAUAGAAAAAUAAACAAAGUCACGACCUCAAGUGGUGAUAAAAUGUAAAUAUAAAUAUUCUUGUAUUUAUGUUAUUAGCAUAAUGCAAAUGGAUCUUCACCCGGCAUGCGGUAGUUCGCAUAGACAAGUUAUUCCAACUGAAUAAUAAAUAAUGGAAUAACAUAAGAAUUUCACCAUGCAUACGGUAGUCCGCGUAGACAGGUUAUUCCAACAGAAUAAUAAAUAAUAGAAUAACAGAAGAAUUUUACCAUGCAUGCGAUAGACCGCACAGACAGGUUAUUCCCAACAGAAUAAUAAAGAAUAGAACCAGGUCAUGCGUAAUCCGCACAAACAGGAUAUUCCAACAAAAUAAUAAAGAAUCGAACCAGGUCAUGCGUAAACCGCACAGACAAGAUAUUCCAACAGAAUAAUAAAGAAUGGAACCAGGUCAUGCGUAAACCGCACAGACAGGAUAUUCCAACAGAAUAAUAAAUGGUAAAAAGGUUCCCACCAAGUCUUGUAAGAUUAACAAGGAUAGAUGGUACCAUUGUAAAUAACAUAAUUUAAAUGCAAUUAUAAGAAUAAAAUUAUAUUAUUGGUGGCAUAGCCCAACCGGCAAUAUAAUAAUAAAUUGCAAGAAUUUAAUUUUACCGUCUCAGUUGGUUAGAGCCUUGUGCUGAUAACAUGUUAUAAAAUUUUAGCAAAGUAUAGAAAUUUAGAGAGAAUAAGUAAAAAGAAAAAGGAAAGAAACCAUCCCUUUAUAUAGGGAAUGAAUGAGAGGAAGAGGAGCAGAAGGAGGGAAGAAAGAGAGGUAUCACGGGAGAAGGAAAUAAAGGAGAAAAAGAAAAGCAGGUUCCCUCCAUACGAGGGAAUCACAUGUCUUAACACUUCAAUAAUAUUUAGUCUAGGGUCACUACUAUUAUUUACUGUUAGUGGCACUGUUAUUCUUCAUUUUCCCGCUAUAAUUUUUGCUCCAACAUAUUUUAUUUCCCUCCCAAUUUUUGUCAGUCGCGUGAAUAUCCGAUAACCAUCCCCAAUUUCUAUUUCUAAUCCGCUUGAAUAUCUGAUAACCAUCCCAAAUUUCUAUCUGUAAUCUAUGCCCUAAACCAAAUCUCCAAAUAUUUAUACCCAAUUUCAGUGUACAUACGAUCUACAGAUCCGCACACUAAAUAAUCGCUAAUUUGCACAAUCGGGGACUUGUCGGCUUCGGGAAGCUAUUUGUCAACCAGAUCCGCAUCGGAACUUCUUCCGAUCCAAUUCAGUCUCUUUCUCUCUUCAGGUAAUAAUUUUAUACUUUGAGUGAUUUAUAUGUAUUUAUCUUUUUGAAGCACGUGUUUAUACCCGUGAGUUUUUUUUACUAGAAAAUCUUCCCUUUAAAUACUACUCUUUUGAUGGAUAUUGGAAAAACAGAAUGCAGUUAUUAAGAUCUUCAAGCCAAAAAUUUCCGCAUCUAGUUUCCAAGGAAGAAUAGCUGCAUAAAUUUUUGUUUAGGAUUUACACAAACCAGGGAAACAAGUAUAAAGCUACCUACUCUUUUCUUGAGUUUUGUUGUAUUAAAGAGAGUUAUUUGAUAUGAAGUUGAACAACUGAAAACAUCGCAUUUUCGAUGUGAACUCUUGCUAAUUUGCCACAUGGAUGAUAGUAUUAGAGCCAGCUGAUUGUUAGAAUUUGUUGUUAGCAUAUGUGAUAUUAAGGAGUAAAACUCUUGGACUAUAUAUAAUUAGAACAAACAUGUGCCCAUAAAUUUAUGAUACUUUAAUUGAUAGUGAUCACUAAUCAAGUGGGCUUGUAUGGGUGUAUAUGUUGGAAAAAGGGAGUAGCUUCCAUUUGGUUGAGGCGUCAGUGAAAGAAUGGAAUCCAAAAUUUCCAUUUAUCUGAGAACAACUUGAAAUCCAUCUUAUAUAACACCAACUAAAUUAGAAAGUUUGACGACUCCAAAGACAUAAAAUGACAAUGACAUGAUUUUAAAAUUUAUAUUAAAAACCCAUUCAGAAAUCCUUAUCCUCGAAUAUUGUAAUGAUCCAUCUCAAUGGUUCAAGUGGAGCUACUAUCUACAUAGUGAGUAAUCUCCAGAAGAAGCUCUUUACACUUUAUGGAUUGGAAUGAACCCUCUUCCGCCUUGCUUUAAGUUAUUAAACUCAAAUAAUUAAAAUCCCUUUUGCCACUUGAUAUCUACUCUAAUAUCUCGGACCCAGUCCUGCAGUUAUGUGUAUUGAAAUGUAAGGAGAGAUACUUUUGUUUUCUCCAUUUUGAAAUCAUUCAGAACUUUCUGAUUGUGUUUAUAUUACGUUCCCUCUUACAAUCAAAUUCUCUAAAUAAGAAAAAAAUCUUUUAUAAUAUUACUAUAAGAUAAGGUGACAAAUUAAUACUAGUAGUAGUUAAUAUACAGAUCUGAAUUGAAGUACCAACACUAGUUCGCUAUAAAUUAUAACAUAUUUUCUCUCUUUAAAUUUCAACUUUGAAUCACUCAUUCCAUUGACGACACCAUCACCCUUUCUCUGCUUUUUUAAUAAUACCGCUAGUGGCUCCUACAGAAGAAAUAUACAUUAUUUAUGGCAAGUAGCAUGCUUGAUUAGAGCUAAAAUAAUAACUUAGAGCUAAAAAACCAUAACACUAAACACCAUGAACCUCAUCUAAAUCGUUCUAUUUUUUUGAUGAUGCACUCAUUACUGUUUUACCCUUUUUUAGAGUCCUUUGCAGGCAACAUAUCAAAAAUAGAUGAAAACCCAUUUGCCCCUUUGCAGCAUGCACAAGGAUCCCAGUAGGCUGACAACUUCUCCUAUAUACUCCUCAAAAAACAUCUAAAUCACUAAAUUAAGAAAUUCUUGAAAUGGGUAUUCUCUGAUUUAAAACAAACAAAUAUUUACCUGCAAUAACUACAAUUACAAAUGCCUCUGCAUUUGGGACAUUUGCUGGCAAUUCAUUGAUCCUUUUUGCAACACAACGAGUAAAAUACUUACUUGGGGUGGGUGGAGUUGACUUGAAUAGUAUUCAAUAGUCAGUGUAGAUGUUGUGAACAACUAAACACUAUAGUUUUGUUAGGAACUUAGAAUAAAUUUAGCAUAACCGCAAAUUACUCUUCUUAGAGUCUACUAGUUUUCCAUCCGUGAAUGAGAAAAUGAAUAUACUUAGUUCUGUAAAAUCAUUUUGCCAUUUGUUACUAGAAUUUGAGUUGAACUGUUUUACUCUACUCCAGUAAGUCAAAGCGUAUGUCUAAGUUCACCUAGCUCAGUGAAGCUAUCGAUAUUCAUUUAAUUCAAUGUAUCGUUACAGCUUAUGCUACUGGGAUCUUUUAUAGGCAGAACCAUUUUUCCAAUUAUUAAAUUUUCCACAUAAUUGUUAGAAGUGUCGGAUAGUGAUCCAAGGUAUGGGUCAAUAUGGGUCUUGAGUGAAUGAUAAAAUUAUUGGAACGUCUUUACUUAUCAGUAACUUAAAACGAAAGAAGAUUGGAGCAUCCAUUUGCCUUUCAAGUUUUUGUUUUGUGGAUCUUUUGGGGUUUAGCAAGGUGGGCAAUCAUCCACGUUAACUUUUAAGGAAAAUUAGAUUAUUAGAUUUUGAAACAUAAUAUUUAUCAAAACAUUAGGCACAAGUUUAAAUGUGACUGUAUUCUGCUAAAAAAAAUCAUAUAGUUAUAAACAUGUUACUCUUGUUUUCAUAGUAGUUAGAUGGCAUGUUAGAUAACAAAACAAUGAAUAUAAAAUGAUGAAAUACUCAAAAUAUGAGAUGUGCUAAAAAUUGCUUUAUUAAAUUAUCUUUUGUAUAUCUUAACCAGUAUGCUAUUUUGAUAGUUUUAGCAAUAUUAUAUACCUUCAACUUGUUAACUAGCACGCUUAAUUGGAGUGUGUAAAGCUCCAGUUUUACAGAAUUUUGCUAAAACCAUCUCAGGAUCAACUACAAUUAGGAGCUUUGAUUAAGAAUACAGAUUUCGGGAGACAAGUAUGAACUGAUUGACGGCAACUCUAGGCCAAAGUUUCACACUGCUGGUGUAGUGGACUGGCAAUGCUUCCUCUUGGAUAUGUUGUCUUCUCUUACAUUUGCUUUCUCCUUGGUUUUCCUGAUCUCUGUUCCUAAUGGAACAAUUGAUCCAAGUUUGUUUUUUUUAUGUAUCAAUGUAUCAUUAUUAUCAACGACUCUAAGCUCACCUUAUCUUCUAUUUUACAUGUUCAGAUUUGGGUUCCUCAUUUUCAGUUUUAGGCAAAACCUUUUGGUUGCUAUUUCUGUUUGAUUUUCAAUCUUAGCUUGUUUGUUCCUUUUUUUUUCUUUAGCUUGAAUUGAUUGUGUUGGCAAGGCCAGAUGGUUUGGUUGUGGGGAUUUAUAGUAGUAAUCUUGCUAUUGCCGCUUUCCUUGGAUGUUUUGGCCGAAGUUGAGUUGCUGGUUCCCCACGUGGGCUGAUGGCUGCUGCUUCUAAGGUUGGUCAUAAUCUGAUGUUGGAGAUGUCAAACGGGUCCUAUAUGAUUUCCAGCUGCUCUUGAUGUGUGGUCCUAUGCAUUGGGGCCCACGGUUGUUUCAAAAUGCUGCUCAUGCUUGGUCUCUUUUUCUAGCUGAACUUAGUUUUGGAGCACUUUGAGCUUAAAGGCUUGUUUGGCUACGCUCAUUUUCCUAAUCUCGGGAUGUGAGGCUUUAUUUGUGGGUUAGGAUUAUGUUUCGUAGAUUUAUCUAGGUUUCUUUCGUCUUACUGGAGUCGGGGCUAAUGUAUUGAUCUUUAAUGUAUUAUCUUUAAUUUUUAUAAUUUAAUAUACAAAUAAUUUAGCAAAAAAAAAUAGUGGU
rnacentral:lncRNA from 1 species